rnacentral:rRNA from 1 species
GGGCCCGCACAAGCGGUGGAGUAUGUGGUUUAAUUCGAUGCAACGCGAAGAACCUUACCAGGUCUUGACAUCCCGCUGACCGCCUUGGAGACAAGGCUUUCCCUUCGGGGACAGCGGUGACAGGUGGUGCAUGGUUGUCGUCAGCUCGUGUCGUGAGAUGUUGGGUUAAGUCCCGCAACGAGCGCAACCCUUGAUCUUAGUUGCCAGCAUUCAGUUGGGCACUCUAAGGUGACUGCCGGUGACAAACCGGAGGAAGGUGGGGAUGACGUCAAAUCAUCAUGCCCCUUAUGACCUGGGCUACACACGUGCUACAAUGGACGGUACAAAGGGCUGCAAACCCGCGAGGGGAGCCAAUCCCAUAAACCGUGGCUCAGUUCAGAUCGUAGGCUGCAACUCGCCUACGUGAAGGCGGAAUCGCUAGUAAUCGCAGGUC